GGUGCUGUGGCUAAGCAGGUAAAGCCGCUGUCUGCAAUGCUGGCAGCCCAUAUGGGAGCCAGAUCCAAGUCCUGGCAGCUCCA
rnacentral:tRNA from 1 species